AAGGCAGGAGAUUGAGAUCAUGGCUAGCAAGCUUUGAAGCAGGAGGGUUGAAGCAAGGGAGGCAGAGAGCAGAGCUGGGAAGGAAAAAAAGAAAAAAGAAAAAAGGAGAAGGAACGAGCAAAACACAAUGCACUAGACAGCAAGGGAACAGGGAGAGAACCAUUGAAAGAAUGCUUACCUUAGAGCCGUAAAAACCGGAACGUGUGUAUUUUGGCCUGUGGCCAUUGUCCAGGAAACACAGUGUGGCUUUUAAGCAAAUUGUGGAGAGGUUGUGUCCACACGUUAGUAGCUUGCCCUGGUCUGCUGGUUGGAAAUGCAGCUGCUCUGAGCUGCCCACUUGUUGGCUGGCAGCCUGCUAUUGGGAACAUCAGAAGGAACCCACUGUCCACACCUAAGCUCAUCCCCACUCGAUUUAUGGUGCUCUAAGUUCAGAGGCAGCAGCUUCUCUUCUAGGGCAAUCACUUCCCUUAGCAGCCCAAAGAGUUGAGAUGUUGAUCCUGUGGGGUGACCUGCUUGCUGUCUCUUGGAAGAUGUUUUUUGGUGGCACUGGUGCAGAAGUUGUAGAAGGACAGAGCGGGAGACAUGUUAAAGGAUUUUAGGACUCCUGAGUCUUGUGUACAGACCUUCAAGAUCUCCCUCACCUCCUGGUAUGCCAUGAAGCGUUGGACCAAAGCCCAAAAUAAGAAGAUGAGGGUCAGAAAGGACUAGGUAAGAGGAGCUCUUUCUAGCUCAUGUGCCACUACAGACUUUGGCAGGAGAGCCUUCCUCUGAAUUCUUUAUGAGAGUCAUCUUUCCCUCCCCUGAAUACCCACAGUCCUUUUCCAACCCUCUCCUUUGAAUAUGUUUACUCAGUAUUUAUUAAUUACCUGCCUGGGGCCAGACAUACUCUUAUGGCUUCCACCACUUCCCCACCAUUAGUUAUUUGAGUAAAAGGAUGGAGAAAAUUUUAUUCCCCCUAUUUCCAGGAUCCCAAGGAAGGAAGACCAAUCUAGGGGAUGUGCUCACUGUGAGAGAAGCAAGGUGGGCUUACAUUUUGCAGAGAAACCUAUGAGAUGAGACAGGUCAUUGUUUGGCGAGCUUGGACUUUGGGAGCUGGUGGACAAUGCGUUGAGGGUCACCAAAGUGGC
rnacentral:lncRNA from 1 species